UACGUAGGGGGCUAGCGUUGUCCGGAAUCAUUGGGCGUAAAGCGCGUGUAGGCGGCCCGGUAAGUCCGCUGUGAAAGUCGGGGGCUCAACCCUCGAAUGCCGGUGGAUACUGUCGGGCUAGAGUACGGAAGAGGCGAGUGGAAUUCCUGGUGUAGCGGUGAAAUGCGCAGAUAUCAGGAGGAACACCAAUUGCGAAGGCAGCUCGCUGGGACGUUACUGACGCUGAGACGCGAAAGCGUGGGGAGCAAACAGG
rnacentral:rRNA from 2 species